AAAGUUUUAUUUUAGCUUAAAAUUUAUUUAAUUUAUAUUUUAUAUGUAAAUUUUUGUACGGAUUAUAAUUAUUCUAAAAGAAUAAUUAAAGUAUUUUAUUCGCAGUAUUUAAUAUUAUAAAUAAAAGAAAUUUUGAUUUAGUAAUAAAUUUUAUUAUAGGAUAAAUUUGUGCCAGCAUCUGCGGUUAUACAAAUUAUAAAAAUAAAUUGUAUUAGUUUGUAGUUAAUUUGUUAUUAAUUAGAAUAAAAAUUAAAUUUUUAGGUUAAAUUUUAAAUUUAUUAUUAUUUUAAUUUUAAUUUAGUAAAGCUAUAAAAUUUUUAAUAUAAACUAGGAUUAGAUACCCUAUUAUAUAAAAUAUAAAAUUUAAAACUUAGGUAUUAAUAGUUAUGUUCUUUAAACUUAAAAAAUUUGGCGGUGUUUUAAUCUAUUUAGAGGAACCUGUUCCGUAAUUGAUAAUCCACGUUAAAUUUUACUAAAUUUUACUAAAUUUGUAUACCGUCGUUAUCAGAUUAUCUUAUAAGAGAAUAAUAUUCAUAAAUUUUAAUUAAAUUUUAUUUCAGAUCAAGGUGCAGUUUAUAAUUUAGAGGAAAUGGGUUACAAUAAAAAUAUUUUUGGAUAAAUUUUUGAAAUAAAGUUUUUAAAUUGGAUUUAAUAGUAAUUUUAAUUAAAUUAUUAAAAUGAUUUUAGUUCUAAAACAUGUACAUAUCGCCCGUCGCUCUUUCUUUUAAAGAAAGAUAAGUCGUAACAAAGUAGAUGUACUGGAAAGUGUAUCUAGAAUGAU
rnacentral:ncRNA from 1 species